rnacentral:rRNA from 1 species
UACGUAGGGUGCAAGCGUUGUCCGGAAUUAUUGGGCGUAAAGCGCGUGUAGGCGGCCAGAUAAGUCCGCUGUGAAAUCUCCCGGCUCAACCGGGAGGGUGCGCCGAAUACUGAGGGACUUGGAGUGCGGGAGAGGAAAGUGGAAUUCCUGGUGUAGCGGUGAAAUGCGCAGAUAUCAGGAGGAACACCGGUGGCGAAGGCGGAUCUCUGGGCCUGUUCUGACGCUGAGGCGCGAAAGCUAGGGGAGCGAACAGG